ACCCAUACAGAUAACUAACACAGUUAUCAUAUGGUAACAUAUGGUAACUCUUAAUAUUUUGAGCAUAAACUAAAAAUAAAAUUCUAAUCCCCUUUGCUCACAACCAACUAAACAGACCCAUUAUUGGCCAAGGGGACCCAAGAAAAAUCUUAAAAAUUGAGUUCCUGGCCAUGAUGGGAUGAGAGGUUGGACAUGCCUAGUUAUACUCUGACCCUUUUGAGAUUUAAACACACAACUAAUCAGCAUUAAUGUUUAAAAUAGAGAUCAUAAGUCUGACAGAAUAGAUUAUUCAUGGCAAUAAGAUGCCAAAUUAUAAAUAGGACCUAAGGCCAUGCCAGGCAAGGGUUAAGUCACACACCCCUACACUUACAGAGUAAACUAUAUUUUAACUGCCACAAGAUUUUUCUUUUUCUCUAGCAGCUAAACAAGCACUGGCCUUGAGAUAAGCAAUACUAAAACAAUUUGCAGCUCUUCUACCGCAGAGGCUGACUAACUGACGCCCCCUUCCAUAAGCAAUAGCUACAGUUUUGAUUGGACAAGAGACUGAUUUCAGUAACUUACUCCUGAUAAGAGACCAACCAUGGGCUGGUUCUGGUUGGUUUAUAGAGGUGGCACACUUGAAUGCCUUUGUGUCCUGAAAGGAUCUUCUGAUAUACAGGGCCUAACGUGAAACCUAGUCUACUUUCUGCUGUCAAUCAACAAACAAGUUUCUGGUGACUGGAUUCCUCUAUGCUCAAGACACGAAGGCAAGAAUCAGUCCCAUACAAGCUGGUUACACAAGCAGUGACCACCUACCCCUCUUCAGAGGAGGAGGCCACAGUCGGCCAUGGAGGCAGAAGCUCAACAUGGUAAACAUGUCAGAAUGCCCUCAACAUUUAGUAACAGGAUGGCCAUUUCCUGGGAGUCAUCAUUAUCUUGUACCCACGGAUGUGGCUAAAGGGACCUGAGCCACUGGGUGAUUUACAGCUAUGUGAAGUUGGAUGUGAAGGAGAAAAUAUGGCUGCACAGAUUCCUGGGUUCAGCAGGAGAUGGUUAAGAAAGAUGGAAAGAAAGUUAUUUAGAUGACUCAAUAAAAAGAGGAAAUGGGAACCCAGGCUUCUUGA